rnacentral:tRNA from 1 species
GUCUGUGUGGUGUAGUUGGUUAUCACACUAGUCUCAUAAACUGGAGGUCCCCAAUUCAAACCUGGGCUCAGACA